rnacentral:rRNA from 1 species
AGUGAACGCUGGCGGUAGGCCUAACACAUGCAAGUCGAACGGCAGCACAGUAAGAGCUUGCUCUUACGGGUGGCGAGUGGCGGACGGGUGAGGAAUACAUCGGAAUCUACUUUUUCGUGGGGGAUAACGUAGGGAAACUUACGCUAAUACCGCAUACGACCUACGGGUGAAAGCAGGGGAUCUUCGGACCUUGCGCGAUUGAAUGAGCCGAUGUCGGAUUAGCUAGUUGGCGGGGUAAAGGCCCACCAAGGCGACGAUCCGUAGCUGGUCUGAGAGGAUGAACAGCCACACGGGAACUGAGAACCGGUCCAGACUCCUACGGGAGGAAGCAGGGGGGAAUAUUGGACAAGGGGGGCAAGCCUGAUCCAGCCAUACCGGGGGGGUGAAGAAGGCCUUGGGGUGGUAAAGCCCUUUUGUUGGGAAAAAAAAGCAGCAGGUUAAUACCCCGCUGUUCUGGCGGUACCAAAAGAAGAAGCACCGGCUAAUUUCGG